rnacentral:rRNA from 1 species
AAAGCGUGCGCAGGCGGUUAUGUAAGACAGAUGUGAAAUCCCCGGGCUCAACCUGGGAACUGCAUUAGUGACUGCAUAGCUGGAGUACGGCAGAGGGGGAUGGAAUUCCGCGUGUAGCAGUGAAAUGCGUAGAUAUGCGGAGGAACACCGAUGGCGAAGGCAAUCCCCUGGGCCUGUACUGACGCUCAUGCACGAAAGCGUGGGGAGCAAACAGGAUUAGAUACCCCUGU